CUACGGGAGGCAGCAGUGAGGAAUAUUGCGCAAUGGGGGAAACCCUGACGCAGCGACGCCGCGUGGAUGAUGAAGGCCUUCGGGUCGUAAAAUCCUGUCAGAAGGAAAGAAGUAUAUGGUAGCUAAUAUCUGCCAUAUUUGACGGUACCUUCAAAGGAAGCACCGGCUAACUCCGUGCCAGCAGCCGCGGUAAUACGGAGGGUGCAAGCGUUGUUCGGAAUUACUGGGCGUAAAGCGCGCGUAGGCGGCUGUUUAAGUCAGAUGUGAAAGCCCAUGGCUUAACCAUGGACGUGCAUUUGAUACUGGGCAGCUUGAGUACUGGAGGGGGUGGUGGAAUUCCCGGUGUAGAGGUGAAAUUCGUAGAUAUCGGGAGGAAUACCGGUGGCGAAGGCGACCACCUGGCCAGAUACUGACGCUGAGGUGCGAAAGCGUGGGGAGCAAACAGGAUUAGAUACCCCCGUAGUC
rnacentral:rRNA from 1 species